AUAUUACUAGGCGGAGGAAAAGAAACUAACCAGGAUUCCCUCAGUAACGGCGAGUGAAGCGGGAUGAGCUCAGACUGAAAAUCUUCGGAGUUGUAGUCUGUAGAAGUGUGAUCAGACUUGUUUGUGGAAUAAAUCUUCUGGAAUGAAGUGCCUAGGAGGGUGACAGCCCCGUCUAUCUACAAAACAAGUUAUUCGAUCCACUUUCAAAGAGUCGAGUUGUUUGGGAUUGCAGCUCUAAGCGGGUGGUAAAUUCCAUCUAAAGCUAAAUAUGGGUGGGAGACCGAUAGCGCACAAGUA
rnacentral:rRNA from 1 species